rnacentral:rRNA from 1 species
GUGGGGAAUAUUGGACAAUGGGCGCAAGCCUGAUCCAGCAAUGCCGCGUGAGUGAUGAAGGCCUUCGGGUUGUAAAGCUCUUUUACCCGGGAUGAUAAUGACAGUACCGGGAGAAUAAGCUCCGGCUAACUCCGUGCCAGCAGCCGCGGUAAUACGGAGGGAGCUAGCGUUGUUCGGAAUUACUGGGCGUAAAGCGCACGUAGGCGGCUACUCAAGUCGGGGGUGAAAGCCCGGGGCUCAACCCCGGAAUUGCCCUCGAAACUAGGUAGCUAGAAUCUUGGAGAGGCGAGUGGAAUUCCGAGUGUAGAGGUGAAAUUCGUAGAUAUUCGGAAGAACACCAGUGGCGAAGGCGACUCGCUGGACAAGUAUUGACGCUGAGGUGCGAAAGCGUGGGGAGCAAACAGG